GACGAACGCUGGCGGCGUGCUUAACACAUGCAAGUCGAACGGAAAGGCCCUGCUUUUGUGGGGUGCUCGAGUGGCGAACGGGUGAGUAACACGUGAGUAACCUUCCCUUGACUUUGGGAUAACUUCAGGAAACUGGGGCUAAUACCGGAUAGGAGCUCCUGCUGCCUGGUGGGGGUUGGAAAGUUUCGGCGGUUGGGGAUGGACUCGCGGCUUAUCAGCUUGUUGGUGGGGUAGUGGCUUACCAAGUCUUUGACGGGUAGCCGGCCUGAGAGGGUGAACGGCCACAUUGGGACUGAGAGACGGCCCAGACUCCUACGGGAGGCAGCAGUGGGGAAUAUUGCACAAUGGGCGGAAGCCUGAUGCAGCAACGCCGCGUGCGUGAUGACGGCCUUCGGGUUGUAAACCGCUUUCGCCUGUGACGAAGCGUGAGUGACGGUAAUGGGUAAAGAAGCACCGGCUAACUACGUG
rnacentral:rRNA from 1 species